rnacentral:tRNA from 1 species
GACUUGGUACUUUAAUUUAAAAGACCUGACUUGCAUUCAGGUAAUAAGUCUUCAUGGCUUUCAGGUCA